rnacentral:misc_RNA from 1 species
CAAACAAGUGUUUAUGGCACUUUUAAACAAUCCAUAUCCACCUUGUGUGCAACGUUUGAAUUCGAUCCGCACGCGCUCUCCUUUAAUGCGAAAGCGUGUGUGGGGAAGGAUUCUCAACACCAUUAACAUGUCUUGAACUAGUUUGUCUGAAUGAACGUAUCAUGAAUUACUUAAUUCGAAAUA